rnacentral:lncRNA from 10 species
UUCACUGUAUGCCUCUAGAAUUUGGCUGGGAAGCCAUCUAGUCCAGGGCUUUAUUUGGUUGUCGCAGGUCUUUUGAAGAGGAGAAACUGCAUCCCAAGUGUCUUACCCACAUCUAGACCAAAUGCAGAUGAAGACAGAAUAGAUUUUAAGCCAAAUAUUAUAACUGGAGAAAACUUUUGGUAAUCUUGGCAUGAAAGUAGAGCUAUUUUAAUGUAAGAAGCACUGAGAAUACGUUGUGACUUAAAAUUACUUGUAACUCCUCCCAUCAAAAUGUGGAGUCUAUUUUCCUAGAAUUUAAAUCUAAGCAGGAUGUGUGACUUGCUUGACUAAUAAAAUGCAGUGGACAUUAUUCUGUCUCUGAUCCAAGGCUCAGGCUUGAGAAACCUUACAGCUCUCGCCCUCACAGGAACAAGCCUGAAAUUCCACCUUGCAAGACCUUAGGGAGGAAAAGGUCCAGCCAUCUCGGUCAUCCUAGCUGAGUCCCCAGACAUUCGUUUGCUCCUAGCAAACAUUAUACAAAGAGAAAGUUAAUCGUUCUGGCUAAACCCAGCCUAAAUUUCUAACCUAAAGAAUCAUGAGUAAAUAAAUGAUUAUUGUUUUAACUACCAAGUUAUGGGGUAAUUUGUUACCCUGUAAUAGAUAACUGAUAAAUUUUUAACAAC